CAAAGUCCCCAGUGCUGUCUCAGCUUUUGAAGGUGGCGGCUGUAAAAUAUUCCUAUAACAAAAGCAGGGAGCUCCCAGGGCUCAAUUGGAAGAGGAAACCUUCUGCUCCACCCUCCCCAAAUCCACAUCAGGAACUAUGUUCCCUCCAGGGUGAGACCAGCUCGGGGACAGGGACUUCAUGGCAGAUUUGGGACCCAGAUCUUCUCCUUGGAGCAAGGACUGCUGUACAGCUAGUGUCUGCUGUCAGUGGACAGGGUCCACAGAGCAUUCAUGGCACGAGCACUGUGAGUGGACCACAGCAAGGGAGAGCACAAAGGACACCCUGCAGGAUCUGUGCCCAUGUUCCUGGCAAUGCUGCUUCCAGGGGCCUGCUUCCCUUGCCCAGCACUGAGCUGGUCCCAAUCCACAAGCAACUAUUGAAUAUUGAGCCUCUUGGAGCAAUGGGCAGCAUCUGGAAAAUGGCUCUCCCCAAACCCAGGCAUAGUUUGGGAUACAGUGCCUGCCUGAUGUCCUGCUGUGGGGAGAGACCACUGC